CAGUCGCCGCGGUAAUACGGAGGGAGCUAGCGUUAUUCGGAAUUACUGGGCGUAAAGCGCACGUGGGCGGCUUUGUAAGUUAGAGGUGAAAGCCUGGAGCUCAACUCCAGAAUUGCCUUUAAGACUGCAUCGCUUGAAUCCAGGAGAGGUGAGUGGAAUUCCGAGUGUAGAGGUGAAAUUCGUAGAUAUUCGGAAGAACACCAGUGGCGAAGGCGGCUCACUGGACUGGUAUUGACGCUGAGGUGCGAAAGCGUGGGGAGCAAACAGGAUUAGAUACCCCGGUAGUCCCUGUCUCUUAUAC
rnacentral:rRNA from 1 species